GAGCUGGAGGACCCUGUGCUUCCCGCACCUCACAGGCGGAGCAGCCUCUCAGGAACUCCUUCCGAGGCUUCCUCCUGUGGGCGUGGUGCUUUCUCAUCACUGCUGCUGCUGACCUUUCUCCCCAGCAACUACCAAAAGCCCGUUUAUCCACAGUCUAAACAACCAAGAGAAUCAAGGAACCCCACAGAAGGAGGAUGAUAGCAGUCUGUACUCAAUUUUAUGAUCAAUAAAUUAGUUCAACAACAGCUCCCACGUUGCAUGUAGCCCCACAACCAGCAUUGUUCGACUUCUGCAUCUUUUGUGUGGCUCGCCCUGUUCUGGGCACUCAAGACAUUUCACAAUAAUAUCUGUGAAAUUAUAACAUGUCAUCUGCAUUUUUAAGAUGCAUUAUGGA
rnacentral:lncRNA from 1 species